AGGGCUGCAGGAGCCAGAGGAUUUCAUGU
rnacentral:piRNA from 1 species